rnacentral:lncRNA from 1 species
CCAGAUUCAACAGAUAAAACCCCCUCAACAAUCAAUGCAACAUCUAAUAAUUUUGUAAGUAGAAAAAAUUAUUAUUCAAAACUCUCUUUUCCUGAUGUUCAAUUGGAAGAAAGAAAUUAUCAAUUAGCUGCUAGUUAUGAUGGUAGUAAUUUUUAUGAAUGAAAUAUAGAUGGAAUGAGUGAACAUCAAAUAAUUAAUUUACUUCAUGAAAUGAUGAUGACUGUUAAUGCUU